rnacentral:rRNA from 1 species
AGAACCUGAAACCCUGCACUUACAAGCUGUGGGAGCACAUUACUUGUGUGACCGCGUACUUUUUGUAGAACGGGCCAACGAGUUACGUUAAGUAGCAAGGUUAAGCACUUAAGGUGUGGAGCCGUAGCGAAAGCGAGUCUUAAAUGGGCGAUUAAGUUACUUGGCGUAGACCCGAAACCGGGCGACCUAUCCAUGAGCAGGUUGAAGCGAAAGUAAAAUUUCGUGGAGGACCGAACCCACGAGCGUUGAAAAGCUCGGGGAUGACUUGUGGAUAGCGGUGAAAUUCCAAUCGAGCCCGGAGAUAGCUGGUUCUCCCCGAAAUAGCUUUAGGGCUAGCCUCAAGCGUAGAGAAACGGAGGUAGAGCACUGAAUGUCCUAGGGGGUAUUGCACUUACCGAAGACUAUCAAACUCCGAAUGCCGUUUUCUUUUACUUGGGAGUCAGACUGUGGGUGAUAAGAUUCAUAGUCAAAAGGGCAACAGCCCAGAUCGUCAGCUAAGGUCCCUAAAUGUACGUUAAGUGGUAAAGGAUGUGGGAUUGCACAGACAACCAGGAUGUUGGCUUAGAAGCAGCCACUCAUUUAAAGAGUGCGUAAUAGCUCACUGGUCGAGUGAUCCUGCGCCGAAAAUUUCCGGGGCUAAAACGUACUACCGAAGCUACGGCAUCAUUUAUGAUGGGUAGGGGAGCUUCGUAUGCAGGCUGAAGCAUGACCGUAAGGACAUGUGGACAGUAUACGAGUGAGAAUGUUGGCAUGAGUAGCGAGACGUGGGUGAGAAUCCCACGGGCCGUAAACCCAAGGUUUCCAGGGGAAGGUUCGUCCGCCCUGGGUUAGUCGGGACCUAAGCCGAGGCCGAAAGGCGUAGGUGAUGGACAACAGGUUGAUAUUCCUGUACCGCCAAUAAGCGUUUGAGAGAUGGAGUGACACAGUAGGAUAAGCUAACCGUACUGUUGGUUAUGUACGGCUAAGCAUUGAGGCAGUCUAAAUAGGCAAAUCCGUUUAGACAAUGCUAGGAUGUGAUGGGGAAGCCCUUCGGGGCGAAGUAGCUGAUUUCACACUGUCAAGAAAAGCUUCUAUCGAGUUUAAAGGCGCCCGUACCGUAAACCGACACAGGUGGGUGAGGAGAGUAUCCUAAGGCCAGCGAGAGAACUAUUGUUAAGGAACUCGGCAAAAUGACCCCGUAACUUAGGGAGAAGGGGUGCCUGUCUAUGACAGGCCGCAGAGAAUAGGCCCAAGCGACUGUUUACCAAAAACACAGGUUUCUGCUAAGUCGCAAGACGAUGUAUAGGAGCUGACGCCUGCCCGGUGCUGGAAGGUUAAGGGGAUCUGUUAGAGCAAUCGAAGCAGUGAACUUAAGCCCCAGUAAACGGCGGCCGUAACUAUAACGGUCCUAAGGUAGCGAAAUUCCUUGUCGGGUAAGUUCCGACCCGCACGAAAGGCGUAACGAUUUGGGCACUGUCUCAACAAUAGACUCGGUGAAAUUGUAAUCCCGGUGAAGAUGCCGGGUACCUGCGACAGGACGGAAAGACCCCAUGGAGCUUUACUGUAGCUUGACGUUGGGUCUUGGUACUACAUGUACAGGAUAGGUGGGAGACUAUGAAGCAUGGACGCCAGUCUGUGUGGAGUCAUCCUUGGGAUACCACCCUUGUAGUACUGGGAUCCUAACCAUAGGCCUUGAAUCAGGUCUUGGAACACCGUCAGGUGGGCAGUUUGACUGGGGCGGUCGCCUCCUAAAAAGUAACGGAGGCGCUCAAAGGUUUCCUCAGCACGGUCGGAAAUCGUGCGAAGAGUGUAAAGGCAAAAGGAAGCUUGAUUGCAAGACAUACAGGUCGAGCAAGGACGAAAGUCGGACUUAGUGAUCCGGUGGUACCGCAUGGAAGGGCCAUCGCUCAACGGAUAAAAGCUACCCUGGGGAUAACAGGCUUAUCUCCCCCAAGAGU